rnacentral:lncRNA from 1 species
AAAAUAUCCCUAAAAACCACCUUAGAUGCAAACUCCUCAUCAGUUAGUUCCCUUGCAGGAGAAGGUAGAGGCCGAUCAGUAACGGCCUUGCAACCUUUAGAAGAAAAUACGUAGCAAGCAGCAUCGCCAUGUGGUGGAUAGAUAUAAGAACAAGCUAGAAAAAGGCUGACUAACGAAACGAAGAAAAUAAUCCAUACGGGCCUCUUCAAAGCAGGGCGGUGGCUAGACCCUGGCAACAUCUGCAUAUCAC